rnacentral:rRNA from 1 species
CCUACGGGAGGCAGCAGUGGGGAAUAUUGGACAAUGGGCGAAAGCCUGAUCCAGCCAUGCCGCGUGUGUGAAGAAGGCCUUCGGGUUGUAAAGCACUUUCAGUGGGGAAGAAAGCCUUGGGGCUAAUACCCUCGAGGAAGGACAUCACCCACAGAAGAAGCACCGGCUAACUCCGUGCCAGCAGCCGCGGUAAUACGGAGGGUGCGAGCGUUAAUCGGAAUUACUGGGCGUAAAGCGCGCGUAGGCGGUCUGAUAAGCCGGUUGUGAAAGCCCCGGGCUCAACCUGGGAACGGCAUCCGGAACUGUCAGGCUAGAGUGCAGGAGAGGAAGGUAGAAUUCCCGGUGUAGCGGUGAAAUGCGUAGAGAUCGGGAGGAACACCAGUGGCGAAGGCGGCCUUCUGGACUGACACUGACGCUGAGGUGCGAAAGCGUGGGUAGCAAACAGGAUUAGAUACCCCUGUAGUC